rnacentral:misc_RNA from 1 species
AACGCACAUUGCGCCCGCCAGUAUUCUGGCGGGCAUGCCUGUUCGAGCGUCAUUUCAACCAUCAAGCCCCUGUGCUUGUGUUGGAGCCCUGCGGCUGCCGCAGGCUCCCAAACCCAGUGGCGGGCUCGUCGUCGUACCGAGUGCAGUAAAUUUACCACGCUCAGGGCACGCGACGGGUGACCGGCCGUAAAAACCCCCCUUCUCAAGGUUGACCUCGGAUCAGGUAGGAAUACCCGCUGAACUUAA